GGGUCCCGGGCCCCCCCCCCGGCUCCGCCUGCGCUUCUCCCCCUCCCCCCCCCGCUGCUGCCCCGGGGGUCGCCCCCGCUGGGGGGGGGAGGGGAGGGGGGGACACGGAGGCGACAACGUCACCGUGGUGGUCCUGGAGAGCGGCCGCGACCCCCCCCCGGGCAGCGGCUUCAGGCUCGUUCUGUGCCCGCUGCUCUGCCGGAACGGGGGGGUCUGCGCCCACCCCCAACGCUGCCUGUGCCCCCCCGAAUUCACCGGGAAAUUUUGUCACCUCCCCUCUGCCAACGUCACCUCCCAAAAUCCACCCGGGAACCCCCAAAAUCCACCCGGGAACCCCCAAAAUCCACCCGGAGACCCCCAAAAUUUUGGGGAGGGGUCUCCCCAAGCCUUGACCCGCUCCGUCUACACCCUCCCCCUGAGCAACCACCGUGAGGAAGAGGAUGGUGCGCAGUCCCUGGUGCAGGUGCUGGUCCGGCACCCCCCGCUCUCCCCGGUCUCCAUCCACAGCGUGGAGCGAGUGCGGGGGGAGGGGCGCGACCCCUCCCCCUCCCCCCCCCUCC